GUGGGGAAUCUUGCGCAAUGGGCGAAAGCCUGACGCAGCCAUGCCGCGUGAAUGAUGAAGGUCUUAGGAUUGUAAAAUUCUUUCACCGGGGACGAUAAUGACGGUACCCGGAGAAGAAGCUCCGGCUAACUUCGUGCCAGCAGCCGCGGUAAUACGAAGGGGGCUAGCGUUGCUCGGAAUUACUGGGCGUAAAGGGCGCGUAGGCGGACAGCUUAGUCAGAGGUGAAAGCACAGGGCUCAACCUUGGAAUUGCCUUUGAUACUGGCUGUCUUGAGUUUGGGAGAGGUGAGUGGAAAUCCGAGUGUAGAGGUGAAAUUCGUAGAUAUUCGGAAGAACACCAGUGGCGAAGGCGACUCACUGGCCCAAUACUGACGCUGAGGCGCGAAAGCGUGGGGAGCAAACAGGAUUAGAUACCCCAGUAGUCC
rnacentral:rRNA from 1 species